rnacentral:rRNA from 1 species
GACGAACGCUGGCGGCGUGCUUAACACAUGCAAGUCGAACGGAGAGGCCCUGCUUGCAGGGUACUCGAGUGGCGAACGGGUGAGUAACACGUGGGUGAUCUGCCCUGCACUUCGGGAUAAGCCUGGGAAACUGGGUCUAAUACCGGAUAGGAGCCAUUUUUAGUGUGAUGGUUGGAAAGUUUUUUCGGUGUAGGAUGAGCUCGCGGCCUAUCAGCUUGUUGGUGGGGUAAUGGCCUACCAAGGCGGCGACGGGUAGCCGGCCUGAGAGGGUGGACGGCCACAUUGGGACUGAGAUACGGCCCAGACGCCUACGGGAGGCAGCAGUGGGGAAUAUUGCACAAUGGGCGCAAGCCUGAUGCAGCGACGCCGCGUGGGGGAUGACGGCCUUCGGGUUGUAAACUCCUUUCGCUAGGGACGAAGCUUUUUGUGACGGUACCUAGAUAAGAAGCACCGGCUAACUACGUG